CUGCUGCCUCCCGUAGGAGUUUGGACCGUGUCUCAGUUCCAAUGUGGGGGACCUUCCUCUCAGAACCCCUAUCCAUCGAAGACUAGGUGGGCCGUUACCCCGCCUACUAUCUAAUGGAACGCAUCCCCAUCGUCUACCGGAAUACCUUUAAUCAUGUGAACAUGUGGACUCAUGAUGCCAUCUUGUAUUAAUCUUCCUUUCAGAAGGCUGUCCCAAGAGUAGACGGCAGGUUGGAUACGUGUUACUCACCCGUGCGCCGG
rnacentral:rRNA from 1 species